AUGACUAUUUUGCUCAUGGGUUUCAUUCACUUUCUGUAAUAAAACAUCUAAAAGCAAAAAUUCUAUCAGGUAGGGGACCCUGGGACAAAAUCUUAUCAGAUGGGGGUCCAUGGUCUAAUUUAUGUCAGUUUAGGGAUCCAUUUUUGUGAUACUU